rnacentral:rRNA from 1 species
UACGAAGGGGGCUAGCGUUGCUCGGAAUCACUGGGCGUAAAGCGCACGUAGGCGGAUUGCUAAGUCAGGGGUGAAAUCCUGGAGCUCAACUCCAGAACUGCCUUUGAUACUGGCGAUCUCGAGUCCGGGAGAGGUGAGUGGAACUGCGAGUGUAGAGGUGAAAUUUCGUAGAUAUUCGCAAGAACACCAGUGGCGAAGGCGGCUCACUGGCCCGGUACUGACGCUGAGGUGCGAAAGCGUGGGGAGCAAACAGG